UACGUAGGGUGCGAGCGUUAAUCGGAAUUACUGGGCGUAAAGCGUGCGCAGGCGGUUCGUUAAGUCAGAUGUGAAAGCCCCGGGCUCAACCUGGGAACUGCAUUUGAAACUGGCGGGCUUGAGUAUGGCAGAGGGGGGUGGAAUUCCGCGUGUAGCAGUGAAAUGCGUAGAGAUGCGGAGGAACACCUAUUGCGAAGGCAGCUCGCUGGGACGUUACUGACGCUGAGACGCGAAAGCGUGGGGAGCAAACAGG
rnacentral:rRNA from 1 species